rnacentral:rRNA from 1 species
UACGGAAGGCAGCAGUGGGGAAUAUUGCACAAUGGGCGAAAGCCUGAUGCAGCUAUGCCGCGUGUAUGAAGAAGGCCUUAGGGUUGUAAAGUACUUUCAUCGGGGAGGAAAAACAAAACUAAUAAUUUUAUUUCUUGACGUUACCCGAAAAAGAAGCACCGGCUAACUCCGUGCCAGCAGCCGCGGUAAUACGGAGGGUGCUAGCGUUAAUCAGAAUUACUGGGCGUAAAGAGCACGUAGGUUGGUUUUUUUAAGUCAGAUGUGAAAUCCCUGGGCUUAACCUAGGAACUGCAUUUUGAAACUGAAAUACUAGAGUAUCGUAGAGGGAGGUAGAAUUCUAGGUGUAGGCGGUGAAAUGCGUAGAUAUCUGGAGGAAUACCUGUGGCGAAAGGCGGCCUCCUAAACGAAUACUGACACUGAGGGUGCGAAAGCGGUGGGGAGCAAAACGAGGAUUAGAUACC